rnacentral:rRNA from 1 species
GAUGAAUGCUGGCGGCGUGCCUAACACAUGCAAGUCGAGCGGCAGCGAGGGGUGCUUGCACCCUGUCGGCGAGCGGCGAACGGCUGAGUAACGCGUAGGAAUUUGCCCCAAAGUGAGGAAUAACUGCCCGAAAGGGUAGCUAAUGCCGCAUAUGGUCUUCGGAUUAAAGGAUUUAUCCGCUUUGGGAGAAGCCUGCGUUGGAUUAGGUUGUUGGUAGGGUAAUGGCCUACCAAGCCGACGAUCCAUAGCUGGUCUGAGAGGAUGAUCAGCCAGACUGGAACUGAGACACGGUCCAGACUCCUACGGGAGGCAGCAGUGAGGAAUCUUCCACAAUGGGCGAAAGCCUGAUGGAGCAACGCCGCGUGAAGGAUGAAGGCCUCCGGGUUGUAAACUUCUUUUAUGAGUGAAGAAUAUGACGGUAACUCGUGAAUAAGCACCGGCUAACUACGUG